GGAGGAAAGCAGGGGAUCGCAAGACCUUGCGCUCAUUGAGCGGCCGAUGCCUGAUUAGCUAGUUGGUGAGGUAAAGGCUUACCAAGGCGACGAUCAGUAGCUGGUCUGAGAGGACGACCAGCCACACUGGGACUGAGACACGGCCCAGACUCCUACGGGAGGCAGCAGUGGGGAAUUUAGAACAAUGGGAGAAACCCUGAUCCAGCCAUGCCGCGUGAGUGGAGAAGGCCUUCGGGUUGUAAAGCUCUUUCAGCCGGAACGAAACGGUCACGGCUAAUACCUGUGACUACUGACGGUACCGGAAGAAGCACCGGCUAACUACGUGCCAGCAGCCGCGGUAAUACGUAGGGUGCGAGCGUUAAUCGGAAUUACUGGGCGUAAAGCGUGCGCAGGCGGUUUUGUAAGUCAGAUGUGAAAUCCCCGGGCUUAACCUGGGAACUGCGUUUGAAUUACGGGGCUAGAAGGGC
rnacentral:rRNA from 1 species